rnacentral:rRNA from 1 species
UCCAGACUCCUACGGGAGGCAGCAGUGGGGGAUAUUGCACAAUGGGGGAAACCCUGAUGCAGCGACGACGCGUGAGUGAAGAAGUAUUUCGGUAUGUAAAGCUCUCUCAGCAGGGAAGAAAAUGACAGUACCUGACUAAGAAGCCCCGGCUAACUACGUGCCAGCAGCCGCGGUAAUACGUAGGGGGCAAGCGUUAUCCGGAUUUACUGGGUGUAAAGGGAGCGUAGACGGCAUGGCAAGUCAGAUGUGAAAGCCCGGGGCUCAACCCCGGGACUGCAUUUGAAACUGUCAGGCUGGAGUGCAGGAGAGGUAAGUGGAAUUCCUAGUGUAGCGGUGAAAUGCGUAGAUAUUAGGAGGAACACCAGUGGCGAAGGCGGCUUACUGGACUGUAACUGACGUUGAGGCUCGAAAGCGUGGGGAGCAAACAGGAUUAGAUACCCGAGUA